rnacentral:rRNA from 1 species
GUUCAAAGCAGGCAGAUCCAAUUUUCUGCCACCGAAUACAUUAGCAUGGGAUAAUGGAAUAGGACCCUGUCCUCCUAUUUUCAGUUGGUUUUGGCAGCGCGAGGACUAGGGUAAUGAUUAAUAGGGAUAGUUGGGGGCAUUAAUAUUUAAUUGUCAGAGGUGAAAUUCUUGGAUUUAUGAAAGAUUAACUUCUGCGAAAGCAUCUGCCAAGGAUGUUUUCAUUAAUCAAGAACGAAAGUUAGGGGAUCGAAGACGAUCAGAUACCGUCGUAGUCUUAACCAUAAAMGAUGCCGACCAGCGAUUAGGAGACGUUGAAUACAAAACACCACCAUCGGCGCGGUCGUCCUUGGCGUCUCUGUCCCUUCAACGGGGGCAGGCGCGAGGGCGGUU